rnacentral:rRNA from 1 species
AUUGAACGCUGGCGGCAUGCCUAACACAUGCAAGUCGAACGAGUGGCGGACGUGUGAGUAAUGUCUGGGACCCUGCCUGAUGGAUGGGGUUAACUACUGGAACCGGUAGCUAUUACCGCAUACCUUCCGCUUUGCCCUGAUGGGAUUAGCUAGUUGGUAGGGUAACGGCUCACCAAGGCGACGAUCCCUAGCUGGUCUGAGAGGAUGACCAGCCACACUGGAACUGAGACACGGUCCAGACUCCUACGGGAGGCAGCAGUGGGGAAUAUUGCACAAUGGGCGCAAGCCUGAUGCAGCCAUGCCGCGUGUAUGAAGAAGGCCUUCGGGUUGUAAAGUACUUUCAGCGGGGAGGCGUUACCCGCAGAAGAAGCACCGGCUAACUACGUGCCAGCAGCCGCGGUAAUAC